AUUGAACGCUGGCGGCAUGCCUUACACAUGCAAGUCGAACGGUAACAGGUCUUCGGAUGCUGACGAGUGGCGAACGGGUGAGUAAUACAUCGGAACGUGCCUAGUAGUGGGGGAUAACUACUCGAAAGAGUGGCUAAUACCGCAUGAGAUCUACGGAUGAAAGCAGGGGAUCGCAAGACCUGGUGCUACUAGAGCGGCCGAUGGCAGAUUAGGUAGUUGGUGGGAUAAAAGCUUACCAAGCCGACGAUCUGUAGCUGGUCUGAGAGGACGAUCAGCCACACUGGGACUGAGACACGGCCCAGACUCCUACGGGAGGCAGCAGUGGGGAAUUUUGGGCAAUGGGCGAAAGCCUGAUCCAGCAAUGCCGCGUGCAGGAUGAAGGCCUUCGGGUUGUAAACUGCUUUUGUACGGAACGAAAAGCCCCGGGUUAAUACCCUGGGGUCAUGACGGUACCGUAAGAAUAAGCACCGGCUAACUACGUGCCAGCCGCCGCGGUAA
rnacentral:rRNA from 1 species